UACGUAGGGUGCGAGCGUUAAUCGGAAUUACUGGGCGUAAAGCGUGCGCAGGCGGUCUGUUAAGACCGAUGUGAAAUCCCCGGGCUUAACCUGGGAACUGCAUUGGUGACUGGCAGGCUUUGAGUGUGGCAGAGGGAGGUAGAAUUCCACGUGUAGCAGUGAAAUGCGUAGAGAUGUGGAGGAAUACCGAUGGCGAGGCAGCCGCCUGGGCCAACACUGACGCUCAUGCACGAAAGCGUGGGGAGCAAACAGG
rnacentral:rRNA from 1 species